CUUACCUUCACACUCUUCAAAAUACCAAGAAAAACAAGAAACACGCUUUAAAAAAUAGUAACUUGAUGACAAACAGAAGUUGAGCUAUAUAAGGUUCCAACUAGCAAAAACUUCUACUUUCUAAUCAUGUCAACCUAGAGAAGUUAAAUCUUAAAUAAAAGUUUUUAUUACUAGACAGGAAACAUGUUAACCUAGAGAAGUUAAAUCUUAAAUUUAGUAAACUAACAGUAGCCAUAACAAUAUACAACAACAAAACUGCAUUGUCACUAAUCAUAAGAAGCAACACCAAACCUUGGUCCCCAAGGUAGAAUUGGUUGCUUGUCAGCAUACUUAAUUUCCUUUGAAACCUGCAUUUAGUUUAAUAAAUGAUAAGAUUUGGAGAUGCAAAGAAAACAAAAAAUUCAAAAAAGUUCAAAAGAUGGCUUCCACAAUAAUCAUUCCUCAUAGGUGUGCUUAAGAUUUUUUUUUAAGCAAACAAGCCAUUUUCUGAACUUUUAAGUGGCCAAUCUCAUAUAUUAGUCCCACAAUAACAAAAACAAAUAGAGAGAUACAAUGGUCCCUUACCACAAGCCAAGGUGACCAAAUUAUUUAAAUGCUUUUUUUUUCAUAAAAAGUACCUACUAGGGAGAUAUUUGUAUAUUCACUACCAUGCUAAGCAUAAAAUCAUUUUUGUGCUACAAUCUGCAUAGAAUUAUCAAUUAUUCUAAGACAGGAAUUGAUAAAUCAUAAUCCUAGCAGCUACUUUGUGAUAUCUAACUCCCCCUGCAUAAUAAUAAUCAUAAGUUCAGCUAUUAAAGCCUACCCUGCUUACAACAAAUCAAUAUCUACUAUUAUCCUAGUCCUAGGCAUUAUUCCUAGAAAAAAAUGGCAUCAUAAAACAAGAAAGCAUAAUAAUCUGACCUAAGUUGAUCACAAAAAAGAAAGUGGAACCAAUUUAACGUAUAAUUCAUAAAACUGAUUGUUCCAUGCAAGGAAAGCAUGUCCAAACUUCCCAUCCCAAAAAAAUACCCAGGUCCUAAUAACAUAAAUAACAAGAAUACAAGCAAAGACAAUUUUAAUCAAGAACUGCAACAUUAGAAAAGGAAAAUGCAAGUUGGUAAAUGAGAUCUUACUUGGUAGGAAAACCAGUAAUCGAGCAAAUAGGUUGUUCUGGAUCUGAAACAAAGUAUAAAUAUCAUUAAAAAUAAAACAAAAUUUUUAAAAUAAUGUUACUUGGAGACAUGUUUUGCAUGAUUAUAAAAAACAGUGGAACUGAGUUUUGGUGUUUGAACUUGGGAGAGCUAGCUAAUGAACAUUAGAAAUUUCUUUGGAAAUCCUGUAAUAGUACAUGUUGAUUCAAUUUUUGUUUCAAGGGAAUGAGUAAUUCAUAUGAUAGAGAUGGUUUAUUAAGCAAACUGCUGACUCUGAAGCCAUCUUUUGACAGUGAUGAAAAUCUGCAGCAUGACCUUUACCUUAUUUCCUUAAUGGAUGACUAAGGAUGGGUUCCCAUAUAUUGAUAGUGUGUAGGUAUACUAGUACCCUGAAUAGUAAUAUAAAACAUAGAUAAUUGAUACUGACCACAAUAAAAAUAUUACUUCAUGAACUAUUGUUAUCCCUAUAUAUCAAUUUUUAUCAACCUGAUACAUCAAAACAAGGUCAACUUUAACAAUUAAUUUGCAAUUUUAUACUUGUGUAUCUAGAUAACAUGAGAUUUAACAGACUUCUCUUUCAUGUUGUAAUAUUUUUUUUACCUUCAUUUUCAUUGCUAAUUUACACCAGCAUCGUGUUCACAUUCUACCAAAUGGGUGAAAGAGAAGGAUAAAGAGCACGAAGAAUUUGCUUGGUUGAAUGAAUUGAAAACAUAUUUGGACAAAUUGUAAGGCUUUUAGAGUUAUAAGUUUUCGUAAAACCCUUUCACUUGCACCACCUAACUAUACUCUACAUAGAUCGUGAAACCUCCUUUGUGUUAUGAUAAAGCAAUUAUAAUACAAUAAUAUGCUAAAAGUUUCUAUUGGCUGCAUUUCUUAGGGUCAUUUACUGAACUAAAUAGAUGAUACAACUAUCAAAUGCUAUUGUGUCUCGAUUUUAUUGUUGAUAAAAAAAAAAUAUUGUAAUAGGCUCUAGGGGGACACAUGAAUGUGCACAUGAGGGACAGGGCUAGGCUCAAACAAAGCCUUAGUCACCAUAAUGAAUCCCUUCAAGAUCUUCACAAAAAAAGAUUGUAAGUCAUAGAGUGCUCAAUUUUCUGAAGUGAUGGAACUUCUCUCAUCAAGAUAUUGUUGCCUUAAUCCUUAUUUACUCUAAUCUUUCUGGUCCAGUUGCAACAAGCAAAGUCUCGUCUUCUAGGCCCUCAACUAUAUCCACUCAAGAAAAUUAAGAAACUAUUGUAAAAGGGUAUGAAUGAGAAUAAUAAGAAUGAAAUUUUUCUUGAAUUAUUAGUUUGGUUACUGCAUGCACUUCACCAUUUGAAAGCAAAUGACAAAUAUUGAAAAUACAACACAUAGUACCUACCAUCAACAACAUAUGCAAAUUUUACCAUCUCAAAUGUGAUAAUUAGAUUUUUAAGAUAUACAUUGUAAGAAUGAACGCAUUUCAUCUAUCAUGAAGAGCAACAACACAGACUCUAUGGUUCAAUAUUUUCAUUUAUUAAUUCCUGUACUUUACUAAAACUGUACAACACAAUAAAUUUGACUAAUGUAGAGACAAUAGUAAAUACUGGUGAAACCUCUGUUUUCGCCCAAGAACCACAAAUUUUUCUUCUCCUUUUCUUCCACCACGUUACCAAAUUUGAUUUUACCUUUUCUCUCUUCAUAUUUUUUUUUCUUAUAUUCUUCACUUCAAAAGUCUGACACUUUCUAUAGCUGCCACUCAAUUUCUCUUUGUUUUUUUUUUAUUUUAUUCUCAUAAUUUCCUUCACUCAUCCCAUAAUCAUAGUAUUCCCAGUCGGUUUUUUCUCUUCUCCAUUCUCUCUGCUUUUUCCUUCACCGACUACUAGUUUCUGCUAGCUUCACCAAACUCAAGGUUUGUACUUUUUCUUCCUUUUAAAUUAUUCUAAUUUUACUUCUCUGAACUUUCUGUUCCUUUUUUUUCUACUAUUUCUUCUAUUUUAUUUUCCAUCAUGAAGAAUACGCUUUUGGAGAAGCCAAGGUUCUUUUAUUUUUAUUUGUCAAUGUAUGUGUAGUCCACUAAUGAUGGUCAUCCAUGCAUGCCUAUCAGUGUUUAGCUAAUAGCAUAAAUGUCAAAAUGCAGUAAUAACCGAAGGGUAUGCUACGCACACCUCAUACAUUAAGCUAGCCAUGCAUCAAACCACCACUCCACAACCACAAUAUUUCAUCCCCAAGCAUCUCCAAGCUUAAGACCAACUUUAAAAUAUUCCAGUGAACCAUCAUUCUUUACUUUUUUAUUAUGGUAGGUGCUAGAAUCUGCAUUUGAAAUUGAACAAAUUAGGGACUGACUAGCACGUAGAUACCAACGUGUGACACCUCACUCAAACUAAUGCUAUCUUGUCAUUAUGUUAGCCACCGAUGAGGUCCACCUAAAUUUCAAGAAACAUCCAAUUAGCACUUACUUGGUUCAAUCAACAGACCUUGCUUGCCAAAAAGUGGUGGGACCGUAGAUGUAUUCAUAUAAGUUAGCCAUUUUCCAUUUCUUCCAUGACAGCUCCAUAUGAAAAAGAGUAAGUGCCCUGGUUGCUCAUCACCGAGCUCAAUCUUUUAGUCUCCAGUUUAAAUAACAAAGCGAAGCUGAGCUGAUUUUUCUUUGCGCAAGACAUCAUCCAAAUAAAUGUGUUGGUCUUUUCAGAAUCAGAACAAUCCCCUGAGUGGAAUAACUCAAAGCCUCUAUUACAUAAAGAUUUGAUCAGUGUUUAGCUUCCUUCACCAGUUCCCACAUCAACACAUCAAACCAGCUCCCCCACCAGACCUCAAACUAUGCUAAUAUAUUUCCUAGCUUUCAUACGCUCAACUGUAUAUAGGAAACACCACUGGAUUCCAACUUUAGAGCUCCCUCCUCGUCACCUAACCACUUGAACAGAGUUAAGUGCUAGACAUGAGCACGAACUAAGAUCCAAUUCACCCUUGUCUUAAAAUAACAAGCCACUCACAAGUCACGAUGCUACACAACUUGGACUACUUCUUUAUUCGGUCUCUGUCAAUGAAUUAACCAUACCUAAUCUUGUUCAGAUACCUCAUGUUAUUAAAUACUCACAAGCCAUUUUCUAUUUUACUUUUUAGUCUACAAAAAAUAUGAUCAACAUCAAACACAGGAUGCAACAUCGCAGACUCAUUUGAAAACAAUAUUGUCAAAUUACUGAAGUUGGAGGGAACCCUAUAUAGACUAAGAAAAGCAGAGGUUAAAAUAUGGACACAGGAAAGAAAAGCAGAGGUUAAAAUAUGGACACAGGAUUAAAAUAAAUGCUCUCAAUGCUCUCAUCCAUAGAGACCUCCGCCUCUUUUACAGAAUAAAAUCAGCACUAACCUUCUGUCACCAGGUUGGAGGAAUCACAAGUGUUGCCCCCAAACUUCUAGCAACAAUCACUGCAUCUGCUAUCUGAUAACCAUCAUUGGAGUAUUAGAGAAUAAGGAUAUAAUCAACAGAAACUAUCGAAAGAACUAUCAGCAACACGCAAUCCGAAAUCGAGAAGCUAAGGUUGAGAACACAUAAAGAUUAAGAAAGAAGAAGGGAAACUCACCGUGAGUACGAAACGGUCAAUCGCUCAAGCUCAAUCGCUCAAAUGGUCAUGGUCACGUUCCACUGCUCAAUCGCUCAAAUGCUCAUGGUCACGUUCCACUGCUCAAUCGCUCAAAUGCUCCACUACUCAAUCACAUUCCACUGCUUAAAUGUUCUCAAUCGUUCAAGCUCAAUCGCUCAAUAUCUCACUGCUCAAUCGCUCAAUAUCUCAGUGCUCAAUCGCUCAAAUGCUCCACUGCUCACGAUCACGUCCACUGCUCAGUCGCUCAAAUGCUCAAGCUCACAUUCAAAAUGAGUUUACUCCCAAAAAU
rnacentral:lncRNA from 1 species